rnacentral:rRNA from 1 species
UACGUAGGGGGCAAGCGUUGUCCGGAAUUAUUGGCGUAAAGCGCGCGCAGGCGGUUCAUUAAGUCUGGUGUUUAAGGCAAUGGCUUAACCAUUGUUCGCACUGGAAACUGGUGGGCUUGAGUGUAGGAGAGGAAAGUGGAAUUCCACGUGUAGCGGUGAAAUGCGUAGAUAUUAGGAGGAACACCAACGGCGAAGGCAGCUACCUGGACAAUAACUGACACUCAUGGACGAAAGCGUGGGGAUCAAAAGGG